rnacentral:rRNA from 1 species
AACGAACGCUGGCGGCAUGCCUAACACAUGCAAGUCGAACGAGACCUUCGGGUCUAGUGGCGCACGGGUGCGUAACGCGUGGGAACCUGCCCUUAGGUUCGGAAUAACUCCCCGAAAGGGGUGCUAAUACCGGAUAAUGUCUUCGGACCAAAGAUUUAUCGCCUUUGGAUGGGCCCGCGUUGGAUUAGCUAGUUGGUAGGGUAAAAGCCUACCAAGGCGACGAUCCAUAGCUGGUCUGAGAGGAUGAUCAGCCACACUGGGACUGAGACACGGCCCAGACUCCUACGGGAGGCAGCAGUGGGGAAUAUUGGACAAUGGGCGAAAGCCUGAUCCAGCAAGGCCGCGUGAGUGAUGAAGGCCUUAGGGUUGUAAAGCUCUUUUACCCGGGAUGAUAAUGACAGUACCGGGAGAAUAAGCUCCGGCUAACUACGUG